GCCAACAAGGCUGGGCCAAGUCCGUUGGAACGCGGCAGCUGAGAGGGUGAGACUCCCGUUUGCCUGGUCUUGUGUGCGCAGUGUCCAGUGAUCGCUUGUGGAAGGUGUCGAGUCGAGUUGUUUGGGAUUGCAGCUCUAAGCGGGUGGUAAAUUCCAUCGAAGGCUAAAUACUGGUGGGAGACCGAUAGCGUACAAGUACCGUGAGGGAAAGAUGCAAAGCCGCGCGAAAGCGCCGUUAAAGAGUACCUGAAGUUGCUGAAACGGAAGCGAAGGAAACCAGUGCCAGUCUUGUCAUACUUCCCUCCCUGCUUGCGGCGGGGGCGCUGUGGCCGACGUUGUCAGCCUUGGUGGGACUGGGCGGAGGAGCGUGCGGGGAGCUGAUCCGCAUUGC
rnacentral:rRNA from 1 species